GACGAACGCUGGCGGCGUGCUUAACACAUGCAAGUCGAACGGAAAGGCCCUGCUUUUGUGGGGUGCUCGAGUGGCGAACGGGUGAGUAACACGUGAGUAACCUGCCCUUGACUUUGGGAUAACUUCAGGAAACUGGGGCUAAUACCGGAUAGGAGCUCCUGCUGCAUGGUGGGGGUUGGAAAGUUUCGGCGGUUGGGGAUGGACUCGCGGCUUAUCAGCUUGUUGGUGGGGUAGUGGCUUACCAAGGCUUUGACGGGUAGCCGGCCUGAGAGGGUGACCGGCCACAUUGGGACUGAGAUACGGCCCAGACUCCUACGGGAGGCAGUAGUGGAGAAUAUUGCACAAUGGGCGGAAGCCUGAUGCAGCAACGCCGCGGGCGGGAUGACGGCCUUCGGGUUGUAAACCGCUUUCGCCUGUGACGAAGCGUGAGUGACGGUAAUGGGUAAAGAAGCACCGGCUAACUACGUG
rnacentral:rRNA from 1 species